UUUGCCUACGGGGCGCAGCAGUGGGGAAUAUUGCACAAUGGGGGGAACCCUGAUGCAGCGACGCCGCGUGAGUGAAGAAGUAUUUCGGUAUGUAAAGCUCUAUCAGCAGGGAAGAAAAUGACGGUACCUGACUAAGAAGCCCCGGCUAACUACGUGCCAGCAGCCGCGGUAAUACGUAGGGGGCAAGCGUUAUCCGGAUUUACUGGGUGUAAAGGGCGUGUAGGCGGGAUGGUAAGUCAGAUGUGAAAACUAUGGGCUCAACCCAUAGCCUGCAUUUGAAACUAUCGUUCUUGAGUGUUGGAGAG
rnacentral:rRNA from 1 species